rnacentral:misc_RNA from 1 species
GAUGAAGAACGCAGCGAAAUGCGAUUCGUAAUGUGAAUUGCAGAAUUCAGUGAAUCAUCGAGUCUUUGAACGCACAUUGCGCCCCCUGGUAUUCCGGGGGGCAUGCCUGUCCGAGCGUCAUUGCUGCCCUCAAGCACGGCUUGUGUGUUGGGCCUCCGUCCUCCUCCCGGGGGACGGGCCCGAAAGGCAGCGGCGGCACCGCGUCCGGUCCUCGAGCGUAUGGGGCUUCGUCACCCGCUCUUGUAGGCCCGGCCGGCGCUUGCCGACACAUCAAUCUUUUUUCCAGGUUGACCUCGGAUCAGGUAGGGAUACCCGCUGAACUUAAGCAUAUCAAUAAGCGGAGGA